UAAAAAAAAAUAUUAUUAAUAAUUGUUGUUGAACAUUAAAUUAAUAACAUUAGUGCACUACACCACUUUCAAUUUUUAGUUAUAAUCGUGUCUAAAAAAUAUUUAAUCUAUGAAAUACAAUUUGGGCCAAUGAUUUCAAUUUUAUGUUCAAGUUGGCUAAUCCAGCCUAUCAAUUAUGGUUCAUCACCAUCAUAUUGUUUGUAGCCUAAUAAAAGGGUUAUCAUCAAAACUCGUACAACAUAAUUAUCCCCCUGAUAGCAAUUGGGCUCAAUAUGAAUGCAAUAUUUUAUAUGAAUGUGGUAAGUAUUAAUGUAUUAAGAACUUUGAUUGUUCUGUUCAUAUUGUGUCUAUGAUUUAAAUAACUAUGAAAUAUCAAGAAAAAAAUUAAAACAAUUUGAGGAGUCAAGCUAUUGUGGUGAAACAACCAAUGAUGAAGCCAGAGGUCAAGGUAAAAAAAGAAAAUAUAAAACUCAAAGUUUUUUAUCAUCAGAUGAUGAUAAUUUAUAUGAUGACCAAAUAUCUCUUAUGCAAAAACUUCUAAAUCCCCCAGCAUGGACAAAAACAAAAAUAGUUACCAAAUUUAUUGAUAAAAACAAAGUUUUACACUUUUUAAUAUGUAUAUUACCCAUAGACCUUAUUCUAAAUAUAAGUACUAAACAUUUUAGGUAUCAAAAGCAAUAGUAAUUUAUUUGAUCCUCAUUAUCAUUCAACUGGAAAAACAUUAACCAAUAAAACAGUGUCAAAUGCAGAGGACAAUAAUGACAUAUCCGGAAUGGAACAUAUUUUAACCAAAACUCCAACAAACGCAAGUAUCAUAAUAAUAUGGUAUUUUUUAAUUCUACAGAAUAUAUAUUAUUACAAUAAUUUUAUAAAUACAUUUUAGAGUAUAAUUAUCGCCUGGCGUUAAACAUUGCCCAUUUCCUGCAGUUAGUAAUAAUAUGGGAAUGACGACUAAUGAAUCAAGUAUAAUCUUAACAACUGUACUACAGUAAAGCUGAAAUGCUUUAUUAUUAUAAUAUAAUGUAUAUUGUGUAAGGACUAGGAUUUCUAUCACAAAUUGCUAAUUUAAUGGAAAAACAGUUGAAGUCCAAUCAUUACACAAAUUGUCUGCUCUAAGAUAUUUUAAAACAGAAUAAAUCAACUUUAAAUGAUUUCAAUACUGGUUUCCAAGAAAAGUUUAGAAAUGUGUUUAAUAAUUUUCCACUUACAGGCCUUUCUGAUGUUGUGGAAAUGGAAGAAAAGUUAAAAGAUUCAGCAUCAUAUCAUUUAAUGAAAACUAGAUUACGACAAUGUGGGUGUUCUGUCAACUUAAAUGAUACAGUAACAUCAAUGCUUUGAACCCUUUUUACCGAUGAGUAUGCAACAAAUUACAAUUUUGAUGGAAAAAAUAACUUGAAAAAUGCUUUUAAACUGUUAACUAUUUAUCAUAAUAUAAUUAUUAAUGUCGCUUUGAACUUUCAUUAAGAUGGAACUGAGCAUGAUGUUAAAAGCAGAAUAAGAAUCUAGUUAAGUUGGUAUCCACAAGAAUAAAAAACAGAGAACUUACAAAAAAAUAAAAUAUAAGAAUGUAAUUGUUUGACUGCAUUGAAAGUAUUAAGUACCUAUACUGGCUAUACUUUUUAUACUUAAUUUAAUAAUUAUAACUUUUAAUAUACUUAUUUACUGACUGACAGAACUAAUUAAUAAUAUUAUAUUAUUGACUGAUUAGAACUUAUAUUAUUUUUUUUAUAUCUGAUAUUAUCAUGU